rnacentral:lncRNA from 1 species
UAGGUAGCUUAUCUGAUUUUUAUGGAAGAGUUCCAUGUGAAUCAAUCUCCUCCACGCCAACACCACACGCAGAAAAAAUAUGGCACGCCCCAUUUAUUUUAGGCAUUAAGAGGAGGAGUCCUUCUCUUUCACUCCUCUUAAAAUCCUUAGCAUCUUUUGAUGCGUUCCUUUAUUUUCUCAUGUCAUGUGAUGACUCUUAGAAUUAUGGGUGCAAAAGAGAAGGAAGAGUCCUUCUCUAGCAAGGAGUUUGAACAUCAAAUUAAAUGGGAUGCCACAUACAUAAGUUUGAUGAUAUGAAAGAGUCCUUAAUGUCAUGGACUCUUUAUUUCUCAUGCAUUCCCUUAUCCCACACACCAUAUGAUGGCAUUUUAUUUUUCUUGGUAGAGGAAAAGUCUUUCUUAAAAUACUUCCCUAUUCCAUGCCUUGCUCUUGAGAUUCCAUGCUAAAAAUUUAUGUUGUGGCGUGUAAGAAUUAAGGGACACCAAGAGUUGGCAUCACAUGGUGUCGCCCCUUCUUUCCUAUAAAUAGGGGGUGCUACACCUGGUUUCGUGUGCUAAUUUGGGUUGAGGAUAGGUGUGAGAAUAAGAAGAAAAAGAGAGAAAAAAUCUAGGAUAAAGAAAAGGAAAAGAGAGAAAGAAAAGUUGAAAGGAAGGGAUGAGAAAAAUGGAAAACAUGUGAUGCUUGUCCAAAAAUCAGAUUGUUCAUGUGUUAAACAUAUAAUCUGAUAUUUGUGUAGUAAAAUCAUUUGAGGAAAAAUUCCUAGAGUAGUCCUAGUGAAGGUCUCGAAGGCAUACAAAUGGUGGUGCAAUCCGUUCUUGUGAAGGACAAUUGGCAGCGAACUUGCGAAGAAGGCUGUAGCACUACGUCGAAUUAGGAAGGGUCCUGAUCAAUCCUGUGUGGAUCACCGUUGGAGGGCUUCUACUUUGAUAUUUUGUGAAGAUCUCAGGAUUACCAGAUCAUUGUCUUCAUGUUGGCAUAUGGCUUCUGAUCUCUUCUUGUUAUACAUACUUAUUUUAUUUGAUUGUAAUCAUCAAGGUGUUCAUAGGGCUUUUGUAUUCUGGUAUUUUAGUUUAAUUAUUUAACUUAUUUUUAAUUGUUGAAUUCAUGUAAAAAUUAUUAAAAUUUAUAUUUCACUGUGUCACCAGAACCCAUCACUAUCUUAUUCGAAAAAUCUAUUAAGAUAACGUCAAUCUGUAGAAGAUCGAUGGAAAGUAGAACUUGACCAAUCCAUUCACUAAAGCCUCAAUAUCUAGGAGUUCUGAGAUUAUAAAUCGAAGAUGGAUAUAUGAUACUAUACUAAUUAACUUUAGUCCAAGUAAGAGUUGUUGGGAAUUGUGUCCUAAAACUAAUCAUUUGAUGAUUGUGCUAAUUAUAAUUAUAUAUGAAUUGAUAAAUAAUAAAAAUUAUUUAAUCUUAUUCAUCACAAGGUUACAUCUUCUAAUGAACUCCUAUAUUGUGAUGAAGGCCUUAGGAUUACUUUGAUC